AUGGCUGUGCUUCAACCAGAGAAAGGAUCGGAUGGUUGUGGUGGUUUCUGACUGAAAGAAGACUUCUUAAAGCUUUGUUUGCACCAUCCAACGAAUGAGAAUCGAUCUUGGGGAUGAUCCAAUGGUUAGGAGUGAUGCCGACUUGAUCUUGGCUAUUUUGAGGUAUGAUUUUGGCUGUUUGAUGGCGAUCCAAUAGCGAGCCUAGGUCAGGGAGUUUUAACACAAUUAAGAGACCAACUUGUACUCGAUUUGCAUCCAAUUUUUGGCUACAAAAAGAGCAGACCAUGGAGAAUCAAGGC
rnacentral:lncRNA from 1 species